rnacentral:rRNA from 1 species
UACAGAGGUCUCAAGCGUUGUUCGGAUUCAUUGGGCGUAAAGGGUGCGUAGGCGGCGAGGUAAGUCGGAUGUGAAAUCCCGGGGCUCAACCCCGGAACUGCAUUCGAUACUGCUUUGCUUGAGUACUGGAGAGGAGACUGGAAUUUACGGUGUAGCAGUGAAAUGCGUAGAUAUCGUAAGGAAGACCAGUGGCGAAGGCGAGUCUCUGGACAGUUACUGACGCUGAGGCACGAAGGCCAGGGGAGCAAACAGG